CCUCAUUACACUUUUUUCUUUGCAGGAAG
rnacentral:piRNA from 1 species